rnacentral:rRNA from 1 species
GACGAACGCUGGCGGCGUGCCUAAUACAUGCCAGUUGAGCGCUGAAGGUUGGUACUUGUACCAACUGGAUGAGCAGCGAACGGGUGAGUAACGCGUGGGGAAUCUGCCUUUGAGCGGGGGACAACAUUUGGAAACGAAUGCUAAUACCGCAUAAAAACUUUAAACACAAGUUUUAAGUUUGAAAGAUGCAAUUGCAUCACUCAAAGAUGAUCCCGCGUUGUAUUAGCUAGUUGGUGAGGUAAAGGCUCACCAAGGCGAUGAUACAUAGCCGACCUGAGAGGGUGAUCGGCCACAGUGGGACUGAGACACGGCCCAAACUCCUACGGGAGGCAGCAGUAGGGAAUCUUCGGCAAUGGACGAAAGUCUGACCGAGCAACGCCGCGUGAGUGAAGAAGGUUUUCGGAUCGUAAAACUCUGUUGGUAGAGAAGAACGUUGGUGAGAGUGGAAAGCUCAUCAAGUGACGGUAACUACCCAGAAAGGGACGGCUAACUACGUG